rnacentral:rRNA from 1 species
CCCGGCGACCGGCGCACGGGUGAGUAACACGUACGAAGCCUGCCCGUAGCAGGGGGAUAAGCGGAAGAAAUUCCGUCUAAUACCGCGUAACAACCCAUGGAGGCAUCUCUGUGGGUUUAAAGGAAGCGAUUCCGGCUACGGAUGGUCAUGCGUCGCAUUAGCUUGUUGGCGGGGUAACGGCCCACCAAGGCGACGAUGCGUAGGGGUUCUGAGAGGAAGGUCCCCCACACUGGUACUGAGACACGGACCAGACUCCUACGGGAGGCAGCAG